rnacentral:piRNA from 1 species
CAACAAGCUUGGCCAGGAAGAUGGAGCA